GGCAAGACGGAAAGACCCCGUGAACCUUUACUAUAGCUUGACACUGAACAUUGAGCCUUGAUGUGUAGGAUAGGUGGGAGGCUUUGAAGUGUGGACGCCAGUCUGCAUGGAGCCGACCUUGAAAUACCACCCUUUAAUGUUUGAUGUUCUAACGUGGACCCGUUACCCGGGUUGCGGACAGUGUCUGGUGGGUAGUUUGACUGGGGCGGUCUCCUCCUAAAGAGUAACGGAGGAGCACGAAGGUUGGCUAAUCCUGGUCGGACAUCAGGAGGUUAGUGCAAUGGCAUAAGCCAGCUUGACUGCGAGCGUGACGGCGCGAGCAGGUGCGAAAGCAGGUCAUAGUGAUCCGGUGGUUCUGAAUGGAAGGGCCAUCGCUCAACGGAUAAAAGGUACUCCGGGGAUAACAGGCUGAUACCGCCCAAGAGUUCAUAUCGACGGCGGUGUUUGGCACCUCGAUGUCGGCUCAUCACAUCCUGGGGCUGAAGUAGGUCCCAAGGGUAUGGCUGUUCGCCAUUUAAAGUGGUACGCGAGCUGGGUUUAGAACGUCGUGAGACAGUUCGGUCCCUAUCUGCCGUGGGCGCUGGAGAACUGAGGGGGGCUGCUCCUAGUACGAGAGGACCGGAGUGGACGCAUCACUGGUGUUCGGGUUGUCAUGCCAAUGGCACUGCCCGGUAGCUAAAUGCGGAAGAGAUAAGUGCUGAAAGCAUCUAAGCACGAAACUUGCCCCGA
rnacentral:rRNA from 1 species